rnacentral:rRNA from 1 species
UACGGAGGGUGCGAGCGUUGUCCGGAAUCACUGGGCGUAAAGGGCGCGUAGGUGGCUGCGCAAGGGGGCGGUGAAAGCCCGGGGCUCAACCCCGGGUCUGCCGGACCGACUGCGGAGCUUGAGCAUACUAGGGGCAAGUGGAAUUCCGGGUGUAGCGGUGGAAUGCGUAGAGAUCCGGAAGAACACCGGUGGCGAAGGCGGCUUGCUGGGGUAUGUCUGACACUGAGGCGCGACAGCGUGGGGAGCAAACAGG